rnacentral:sRNA from 18 species
ACUCAACACUAAUUCUUUUAAAAAGGGUGAGUUAAAGUUGUAAAAGAAUGCCGCUAGAACCUUGGUUCUCGGGCGGACCCUUGAUCAGCUUGGGAGCCCUAAACUUUUUUAAAUGGAGUUU